GAUGCCAGCUAGCGAUCCGCCAAAGUUCCUCCGAUGACUUGGUGGGCAGCUUCCGGGAAACCAAAGCAUUUGGGUUCCGGGGGAAGUAUGGUUGCAAAGCUGAAACUUAAAGGAAUUGACGGAAGGGCACCACCAGGAGUGGAGCCUGCGGCUUAAUUUGACUCAACACGGGAAACCUCACCAGGCCCGGACACCGGAAGGAUUGACAGAUUGAGAGCUCUUUCUUGAUUCGGUGGGUGGUGGUGCAUGGCCGUUCUUAGUUGGUGGAGCGAUUUGUCUGGUUAAUUCCGAUAACGAACGAGACUCUAGCCUACUAAAUAGACGUACUUUAUUACCGGCAUCUCAAGGCCCAUCGGCUGUAUUGUUACUGAAUGUUAUUUGUAUAUUUUGUUGAUAUAUGUUUAUUAUAUGUAUGAUUGAUAAUAUGUGUAUAU
rnacentral:rRNA from 1 species